GACGAACGCUGGCGGCGUGCCUAAUACAUGCAAGUAGAACGCUGAAACUUGGUGCUUGCACCGAGCGGAUGAGUUGCGAACGGGUGAGUAACGCGUAGGUAACCUGCCUGGUAGCGGGGGAUAACUAUUGGAAACGAUAGCUAAUACCGCAUAAGAGUAGAUGUUGCAUGACAUUUGCUUAAAAGGUGCAAUUGCACCACUACCAGAUGGACCUGCGUUGUAUUGGCUAGUUGGUGGGGUAACGGCUCACCAAGGCGACGAUACAUAGCCGACCUGAGAGGGUGGUCGGCCACACUGGGAAUGAGACACGGCCCAGACUCCUACGGGAGGCAGCAGUAGGGAAUCUUCGGCAAUGGACGGAAGUCUGACCGAGCAACGCCGCGUGAGUGAAGAAGGUUUUCGGAUCGUAAAGCUCUGUUGUAAGAGAAGAACGAGUGUGAGAGUGGAAAGUUCACACUGUGACGGUAUCUUACCAGAAAGGGACGGCUAACUACGUG
rnacentral:rRNA from 1 species